UACCAGCACCCCGAGUGGUCGGGACGUUUAUUGGGCCUAAAGCAUCCGUAGCCGGUUCUACAAGUCUUCCGUUAAAUCCAGCUGCUUAACAGAUGGGCUGCGGAAGAUACUAUGGAGCUAGGAGGCGGGAGAGGCAAGCGGUACUCGAUGGGUAGGGGUAAAAUCCGUUGAUCCAUUGAAGACCACCAGUGGCGAAGGCGGCUUGCCAGAACGCGCUCGACGGUGAGGGAGUGAAAGCUGGGG
rnacentral:rRNA from 1 species